rnacentral:rRNA from 1 species
AUAUAUUGUUAGUAGCGGACGGGUGAGUAAUGCAUGAGAACCUGCCCUUCAGGAGGGGACAACAGUUGGAAACGGCUGCUAACUACCCCAUAUGCCGAGAGGUGAAAGGAGCGAUCCGCUGAAGGAGUGGCUCAUGUCCUAUCAGCUAGUUGGUGAGGUAAGUGCUCACCAAGGCGAUGACGGGUAGCCGGCCUGAGAGGGCGACCGGCCACACUGGAACUGAGAUACGGUCCAGACUCCUACGGGGAGGCAGCAGGUGGGGAAUAUUGGGCAAUGGGGACGGAAGCCUGACCCAGCGACGCCGCGUGAGGGAAGAAGGCCUUUGGGUCGUAAACCUCUGUUGUAUGGGAAGAAGGAAGUGACGGUACCAUACGAGGAAGUCCCGGCUAACUACGUGCCAGCCGCAGC